rnacentral:rRNA from 1 species
UACGAAGGGUGCAAGCGUUACUCGGAAUUACUGGGCGUAAAGCGUGCGUAGGUGGUUUGUUAAGUCUGUUGUGAAAGCCCCGGGCUCAACCUGGGAAUGGCAAUGGAUACUGGCAAGCUAGAGUGCGGUAGAGGGUAGUGGAAUUCCCGGUGUAGCGGUGAAAUGCGUAGAGAUCGGGAGGAACACCAGUGGCGAAGGCGGCUACCUGGACCAGCACUGACACUGAGGCACGAAAGCGUGGGUAGCAAACAGG